rnacentral:rRNA from 1 species
GACGAACGCUGGCGGCGUGCUUAACACAUGCAAGUCGAACGGUGAAGCGCCUUCCUUUUUGGUAGGUGUGGAUGAGUGGCGGACUGGUGAGUAACACGUGAGUAACCUGCCCCCUUCUUCUGGAUAACCGCAUGAAAGUGUGGCUAAUACGGGAUAUUCUGGGUCUGUCGCAUGAUGGGUCAGGGAAAGAUUUUGUUUCGGUGGGGGAUGGGCUCGCGGCUUGUAAGCUUGUUGGGGGGGUGAUGGCCUACGAAGGCAGAGACCGGUGGCCGGCGUGGGGGGGUGGACGGUGACGCAGGGACAGAGAGACCACACAGACUCGGAAGGGAGGCGGCAGGGGGGAUUAGUGCACGAUGGGAGUAAGACUGAGGCAGGGACGCCGCGUGAGGGAUGGAGGCCGUCGGGUUGUGAACCUCUGUCGCCAGGGAAGCAGGCCUGCCUGGAUUGUGGAUGAGUUGACGGUAGCUGGAUAAGAAGCGCCGGCUAACUACGUG